CUUCGGACCGGUUCUGAUGGUUCUGGACCGGUUCUGAUGGGAUCAGGAAGCUCAAGAUCUGCAGGUCAGCCCGGUUUGGACCCAGAACUCCUGAGAUGGAUCAGAACCAGGUUUGGGCUGGUUCUGAUCCGUUCUUAGAUGUGUGUUCAUCGGCCAGUUUAUUAGGUACAACGAGCUGAAACCGGAUCAGAUCCGGUUAGUUCUUUAUGGCUCGGAUACAAUCUGGACCCUCAGAGGUUCUGAGGAUUCCAGCCGGAUCAGAACCGAGUCAGCCAGAUUCAACAGAGAGUCCAUCUGCCGCAGCUGGUUCUGGUUCUGUCAGCGGUUCUGCUGUGGUUUCAGUUGGACUGACACGCCCUGGACAGAACUCCAGCUCUGACUCCUCUCGGUCUGUUUGGGUUUGGUUCUGGUCGGGUUCUGAUCCAGAUGGUAGAACCGUAGCUCUGACUCCUCUCGGUCUGUUUGGGUUUGGUUCUGGUCGGGUUCUGAUCCAGAUGGUAGAACCGUAGCUCUGACUCCUCUCGGUCUGUUUGGGUUUGGUUCUGGUCGGGUUCUGAUCCAGAUGGUAGAACCGUAGCUCUGACUCCUCUCGGUCUGUUUGGGUUUGGUUCUGGUCGGGUUCUGAUCCAGAUGGUAGAACCGUAGCUCUGACUCCUCUCGGUCUGUUUGGGUUUGGUUCUGGUCGGGUUCUGAUCCAGAUGGUAGAACCGUAGCUCUGACUCCUCUCGGUCUGUUUGGGUUUGGUUCUGUUUGGUCCCAGCUUUCUGUCCCGACCGGGUCGGGUUCUGAUCAGGUUCUGGUUCGGUUCUGGUCCGGAUGGCAGAACUUUGCUCUGGGUUGGUUUGUUGGUUUAGAAACCGAAGCAGUUCAACGCGACAGACGUCUCACUCUGCUUAUAUUUGCCUCUGAUUAAACAUAACCCAAAACUGAACUGAGCAGAACCAGAGGUAGUUUGGGCCGGUACCGCUCGUUCAGACAGUCUUAUCGUCAUGGCGAUGGUCUUCAUAUGAACUCUGCAGAUUUAAGGAAAUGUUUCUAAAUGUUUAGCUGCAUUAACCCUUUGAAUGCUCUGGAGGUGUGGAGCCGGAAUGGUUCUGGUUCUAGUAGCUGGGCUAGCGUUAGGAUUGGAGCUGUGGGUUUAUUGGUCAGGAAGGUUCUGAUGGUUCAGAUCCAACAGAGAUCUGAACAGAACCAGUCCAAGAAUCUGAUGCAGAGUUUCUCCCAGAAAACUAGCUUAGCCUGGCGGUAGCGUGCUAGCUAGGUCGGCCCGUUAGCGGUCCGUUUGGUUUUUAUUUUACAAAAUAUUACAAGUUGACGUAAAAUUAUGCUUAGGUAAUAAUGUGUUUGUCGUCUUAAAAGAAGAAAAAAACAUAUCAAUCAAAUAUCAAUAUUUUGCUGUUCAGUUAAACCCUAAUUCAGUAAUCAGCCGGUGGAAAACUGGAAAUUAAUGAGAAAAUAUUUGCUUUAUUAAAUUUUUGCUGGGUGAAAAACCCCAUUAUUGCUAUUAUGAAGUUUUCAUGUGUUUAUUUUAGUCACGUUUUGCUUCCCGGGAUGUGAUUGGUUGUUAUUUUAUCGAAUUGAAUGCAGGAUUUGUGAGGCGAACUCUGAUUGGAUGAAACAGACCUGCCUGUGAUUGGCUAGUAGUGCAGACUGAACUAAUCGCUGCCAGAACCCGAUCUGAGUGAGACGUAAAUCUUCAGCAUUCAUAGAGAUAAAUAUACACAGAUCAGGCUCACAGAGACCUGCAAAUAUACCCAUAAUGCACUGCAGCCGCCAUGAUGCUGCGUCUUGGAUUGAUAUCUAUUACUGGAUUGGACGUCAUAUGAUUUAUUGUGCGCCACACAGGCGCCACUGCUAAGUAUUAGUCAGGAAUAUCUGCAGUUGGGAAAAUGACAAUCAGGCAAAUCAGUGGUGGAGAAAGUACUCAAAAAAUUUUACUGAAGUAAAAGUACAACAUUAACAUUUUUACUUGAGUUAAAGUAAAAAAAAAUACUUAAGAUCUAAAAGUAAAAGUACUUGCUGAAUGCAUUAUCUAAUUGCUAAUACAAUAUCCUUAAGUGUACCCAUCGUAUUUAAUUUUAGUACAUCAGAAAUGUCCCAUUUUAAUGAACAAUGACACAGAUAAAGCAUGUUGUUGUUGUGUUUACUCUGUAACAUAUUUAGACUUAGAUAUGUGAUUCUAUGGAUCAUAAUUUCAGGGAUGGAAACAUUUUGUCUCCUGUUCUAACAUAGAAUAAACUUCACUUUUUUGCCACUAGUGGCAUUUAUUUUGAAAGAAAUCCAUCAGAAAGGGGAUGGAAAGAAGGUGGAGGAGGACAUGCAACCAAGGCAGCAGUGUUGUAGUCAAGGCCACCGAACCUGAGACCAAAACGCCGCGCUACAUGACUCUAUAAAAUUAAGUGCACUUAUAAAAAUUGCUUCUCAAAUUGAUCUGAAAAAUCCACGUUCCCAUAAAAACACCGAGAUAUUAAAUACUUAGA